rnacentral:lncRNA from 1 species
CUUUCAGGUAAGCCUAUAGAGGCUAACUCUGCAGUCACAUAUGUAGAACUGCCUGUGCUUUUAACCACUGGAAGUCUUUCUGCACUUCAUUUGAUUGCGUUGUCUCUUUUAUUCUAAAUCAGUCUGUGUUUCGGUUCGUACCAGAGACCCUGGCGUCUCUCAGGAAACCAGACCUUUAACACCUUUUACAUGAAAUGAUAUAAAUAACCUGUUCUAUUAAGAAGUGUUUUCAGUAGUUGCACUGUCCAAAUGUCACGUUCUGUCUGUCUCUCACACGCAGGAUGAAAACUACAGCCAUGUCUUUUAUUCUGUGUUGGAAACUCCACAAAAAAAAUAAAAAAAAUAAUAAUAAUAUUAUUGAGUGGAAACUAAGACAAUAUUUAUGCAUUAUUGGUGGUUUGGAAAGACCUGAAUGUUUUUACAUUUCCCCCAAUUAUAGUUGAAAAAAAAUAAGCAUUUAUUAAAGCAGAAGAUCUCGUUGAUAUUCUGACAAUCAAACCUUGCCUGAUAAGCAGAGUGUAAUAACCUCAACAGUUUCCAUAUAGCCAGCCAAUCGCAAGGCUUCUUUUUCUACGUGUGUGUGGGUGUUUGUGUGUGUUAGUCUGUGUCUGUAUGUGUAUGUGUAGUUUCUAAUGUCUUACUCCGCAACGGAUCAUCACAAUGAGCUGGAUGUAUAUCUUUCUACCCAUCGCCUUGGGUGCUGUUGUGUCCUCUUACACCGUAGUGGAGCUGUACGUGAGACCAGGAGAAACCGUUACUGUACCUUGUGACUGUAAACUCUCAUCUGGUGAAACUAUUGUUUGGUACAGGAACUGUUCUCAUGAAAAUCAGCCCCCACUUAUUCUGACAUGGCAGGAAUUAGAGGAGAAUAAGGACUCCAAAUUAUCCAAUCUAAAUGGGAUGUGGAACCAUUCUUCAAAAACAUACACUUUACUGAUUACGAACAUAUCUGAUUCUCACCUUGGUCUCUACUAUUGUCGAACUGAAAAAAAGUAUGUGACAGAGCAAGACCAGAAUCAUACAAAGUAUGAACACAGAUAUGGAAAUGUAACCACAAGGAUUUCAUUUGGUAAGUUGACUCUGCAUAGAUUUUUAUUCCAAUGUCAACUUGAAGGAAAUUCCCUCAUGCUUCAACAUUUUUUUCUCUUGAAAUUAAUAAGGAACUACGGCGCCAACGAAGUGACAUAA